rnacentral:rRNA from 1 species
CCUACGGGUGGCAGCAGUGAGGAAUAUUGGUCAAUGGACGAGAGUCUGAACCAGCCAAGUAGCGUGAAGGAUGACUGCCCUAUGGGUUGUAAACUUCUUUUAUAUGGGAAUAAAAUGUUCCACGUGUGGGAUUUUGUAUGUACCAUAUGAAUAAGGAUCGGCUAACUCCGUGCCAGCAGCCGCGGUAAUACGGAGGAUCCGAGCGUUAUCCGGAUUUAUUGGGUUUAAAGGGAUCGUAGGUGGAUUGUUAAGUCAGUUGUGAAAGUUUGCGGCUCAACCGUAAAAUUGCAGUUGAAACUGGCAGUCUUGAGUACAGUAGAGGUGGGCGGAAUUCGUGGUGUAGCGGUGAAAUGCUUAGAUAUCACGAAGAACUCCGAUUGCGAAGGCAGUUCACUGGACUGCAACUGACACUGAGGCUCGAAAGUGUGGGUAUCAAACAGGAUUAGAUACCCCUGUGUC